rnacentral:lncRNA from 14 species
GUUUAAAAUUACAUUCCAGCACCUUAUUUGUUUAGCCUGCUGCUGUCCCUGCUUAGAGGAAGGAAAAAAAUGCAUGGAGAGGCAGGAACGAAAUCCCUGACUCCCAGAGCCAUGGCGGGUCCCUUCUGCUUUAGUCUGGGCAGGCUCAGCCAGGCUUUCACUCCCAAAGCUCUUGAGGCACCCGCAACAGCACGAGCAACUUCUAGCACCAUGGGCAACCUUGGCAAAGAAAUGAAGGCAGAGAUUUGUCAUUUCUUCCAUACAUCCAGAUGGCUGCGGAGCAUCUGUCAGUGAUCCAGUCACAUGCAUGGGCUCAUCUGAGGAGGCCGACCAGCUGGGAGACAUCUGUCCAGAAAGCAGUUACAGGAGAAAAUGGUGCAAGACUGUCCCAGAUGCUCUGGCAGUAAGUCCCGUUGGUAACUCAGUCUGCAGACCAUGGAUAACCUGUGCAGCAAGUGACCUUGGUGGGAUGAGCAGCUUUCACAGAAUCAUAGAAUUAUAGAAUCCACUAGGUUGGAAAUGACCUUUAAGAUCAUCAAGUCCAACCAUUACCCCAGCACUCCCAAGACCAUCACUAAACCAUGACACUGAGGGCCUCAUCCACACAGUGUCUGAAUGCUUCCAGGGAUGGUGACUCCACCACUGCCCUGUGCAGCCUCUUCCAGUGCAUGAUCACCCUCUCUGGGAGGAAGGUUUUCCUAAAAUCCAAUCUAAACCUUCCCUGGUGAAGCUGUUACCUCCUAUCCUAUCACUGUUACCUUGGGAAAGAGAUCAGCCACCUCCUCUCUCCAUCCUCCUUUCAGGUAGUUGUAGAGAGCGAUAAGGUCCCCCCUGAGCUUCCUUCUCUCCACACUAAACAACCUCAGUUCCCUCAGCCAUUCCUCCAGACCCUUCACCAGCUCUGCUGCUCUUUUCUGGACCUGCUCCAGCAACUCGAUGUCUCUCUUGUAGUGAGGGGCCCAGAACUGAAUGCAGUAUUCAAGGUGCAGCCUCACCAGUGCUGAGUACAGUGGGGCAGUCGUUUCCCUAGUGCUGCUGGCCACGCUGUUUCUCAUAAAAGCCAGGAUGCCAUUGGCCUUGGGAGUCCAUUUUCUCUUCUGACCCAUUUUUAUGCCCUUCCUAGCAACAGGAAAGGGCAGAGAUGAAUUGAAGGAGGCUUGAAGAUAUAUGGGGUUUGCCCCAUCUGCCUUUACCAUUGGAAGGCAUGAAAGCUCCUCCCAGUGCAAUGUCACACUGAGAAUAAACGCACUAGAGAUGGCA